CUGAACUCAUACCAAGAAAUUCCAAACAGGUCUUUGAAAGGAACAAGUUCAACCCAUGAAAAAGGAGGAGAAAGCAGCAGAUUAGAGGAGAGCCUGCCAAUGGGGAAAUCCUUCUAGGCUGUGACAUCACAGGCCAAGCACCUGUCAGGGCCCUGGAGCACUGCAGCCUGGUCUUCUUUCCACCCAAGACCACAAUCCUGGGCUAGGGCUUGGCCUGGCUGGCGCUGACUCCACAUGGGCUCCAGGCUCCUCUGCUGUGUGGCCCUCUGCCUCCUGGGAGCAGGACCCUUGGACACAGCAGUUUCCCAGACUCCAAAAUACCUCGUCACGUGGGUGGGAAACAAGAUGUCCCUAAAAUGUGAACAAAACCUAGGCCAUGAUGCUAUGUACUGGUAUAAGCAGGACUCCAAGCAAUCGCUGAAGAUCAUGUUUACCUACAAUUACAAGGAACUCAUUGUAAACGAAACAGUUCCAAGUCGUUUCUCCCCUGAAUCUCCUGACAAAGCUCAUUUAAACCUUCAUGUUGACUCCCUGGAGCCUGGUGACUCUGCUGUGUAUUUCUGUGCCAGCAGCCAAGACACAGCCCUGCAAAGUCACUGCCUCCCUGUGCACAAACCCCCUGGCCCAGCCUGGAAGCUAUGGGGACAACGUGUUCACCUGGCCCCAAGGCUCUGUUCACCCCUGACUGGAGUUUCAGUCUAUAGCACAGCCUGUCAGUACACCCAGUGGGGCAGUUCUAAGUUUUAUGCAUAUGGAAGCCUUACAGAAUUCUACUCAUCAGCUGGAGCAGGGGUUCACGGUAAAUUCACUAAAGUACUCGGGGCUCCACAAACAAGCAAGGGCUCUGUCCCAUGCACUGAAGAUCUUAACUGA